AGCACCACUUUUUAAGGCAGUUGUCUUCAGAAUCACAUAGGAAUCCCCUGUGAAAAAUUUUCCAUAUGAUGACGUUGGGAUGGGAACCGGGCGGAAAUUUUCAAUACGCCAUAUCUCUAACCCAGCCUUCUGCCCAGCACCCUGGAAAGCAGGAUCCAAUUCUUUCAUAGAAACAGCCAUAUUGUCCUUGAGUUGUGUGGAAGCAGUAUCUGCUGA
rnacentral:misc_RNA from 1 species